AAGCUAUCUUGGUUAGACAUUUUUCUAUGUAGUAGGGUUUUCAACUCUAGGCCUCCUCUUCUUCAUCACUCAAAAACAUUUACCACAACUGAAAAUGUUUGUCCUUUGGUAGAACAAGACCUUCCAUCUCGGUAUGAUGUGGCUAACCGGUGCUAUGAAGAUCUUCCUUGUGCUUCUUUGUUGGUCAGCUAUAAUCACCUGAAGGCUUGAUAUCUAGUCAACGGAAGAGCAAAUUAUACAAAUGGAAGAAGACAUUCUAUGGUCUAAAGCAAGUUCCACGGGCAUGGUAUAGAAAAUUUGAUUAAUUUUUUCAAAAGCAGUAGUUCCAAAGAAGGGAGAAUGACCCUGCAUUUUUGUAACAAAGUGAGGCAUUGGUGAUGUUUUUCUUUUCUAUCUUUAUGUUGGUGAGGUUCUUGAUGACUAUGUAGUUGCUUUGAUUUGAUUUGGCUAAUAUUUUAAACCGAACAAGCAGUUGAUAAGAAUCUUUAUUUCAAAAAAUAGUUCUUAUGAAAA